rnacentral:ncRNA from 1 species
CGUCGCUCCUACCGAUUGAAUGGUCCGGUGAAGUGUUCGGAUUGCGGCGACGUGGGCGGUUUGCUGCUUGCGACGUCGAAAGAAGUCCACUGAACCUUAUCAUUUAGGGGAAGGAAUUCG